UACGGGGGGGGCAAGCGUUGUUCGGAAUUACUGGGCGUAAAGGGCUCGUAGGCGGCCAACUAAGUCAGACGUGAAAUCCCCAGGCUUAACUUGGGAACUGCGUCUGAUACUGGGAGGCUUGAAUGCGGGAGAGGGAUGUGGAAUUCCAGGUGUAGCGGUGAAAUGCGUAGAUAUCUGGAGGAACACCGGUGGCGAAGGCGGCAUCCUGGACCGACAUUGACGCUGAGGCGCGAAAGCUAGGGGAGCAAACGGG
rnacentral:rRNA from 1 species